UGAGGGAAUAUACCACUCUGGUUUGAAACCUGCUGUUCCCCAAGCUGAGUGAUAGAGGAAAAUUGGUUGGACUGCCCCAAGACCUGAGUCUCCCCACCCAUGUGCAAGCACCGAGUGCUCUUCCAGUACAUAGAGACUCCCUUGUACAUCUAGACAAAUCCAGACCUGAUGAAGAAGCAGCGAUGUAAUGUGAGAGUAUGUAAGAAGCAGAUUUGCACAGCAGUCCAAUACAGCCUGUGUAAAUCACUCCAUCCAAAUCAGCAGAGCUAUACUGAUUUACACCAGCUGAGGCACCAGCUGAAGACAGUCAUAAAUUUUGUGGUGAUGUUUGACUUCAGACGUCCUCCUUUUUCAAGGAUAUGUGUGAUGAGAUCUCUCAUGUAUCUCAUGGGCAAGUGUGUUGUGCCUUUCUUUUUGAGAAGCUGUGUGGGUUUGUGCUACAUGUAAGUCCUAAAGGUGUUUUUAACUGUCCUUGAUUGUUCUUCCACUAAGUCUG
rnacentral:lncRNA from 1 species